GCCGCUUUAGCUCAGUUGGUAGAGCACAUCAUUCGUAAUGAUGGUGCCACAGGUUCGAGUCCUGAAGCGGCACCA
rnacentral:tRNA from 2 species